CUGCAGCCAAUUAAGCCGACCGGGUUCCUUUCCUCAUGGGGUUCGGUGUGCAGUGACUGCAAACAGCAGCUUCCUUGGUUGUGUACGUAACCUGUUGCUUGUAUAGGUUGCCCUAAGGGACCUUGGAGACAGUU
ensembl:snoRNA SNORA70 Small nucleolar RNA SNORA70